CGGCACUACAUACAAUAGUUGUCAGAUUUUCUUGCUAAUUUACAUUAUUUAUGAAUAAUAUUGACAAACUGUUUUGGAGAUUGCAGUCUUUUCCCAUUUAAGCAGAAAGAAACUCAUAUGCCUGUUACGUACAUAGUAAAUAGCAGCUUGCAGGUGUUUCCAAGAUGGCCGUCAAGAGAACAGACUUGCCUUUGACUUGGGCCUUUGGUUUUACACACAUACUUGAAAAUCAACAGCAUCAGGUACUUAAUUGUCAUUUUGGGAUUAUUAUAUUGGCUCAUUAAGGACAUACAUUAUGAACAUGUAAGUACUCAGCAUGGUUUCAUUGUAUUUUCUCAGCGCAUUUAGAAAACCUGAGGAGAUCCAACUUUCUACCGCCAAAGAAGAUUUCCAGUCAGAGAAUUUGAUGGAGAACUCCGGCUGGACUCAUGUGGAUUCUCUGGGAGUGAGUCGGUUCGCAUGCAGACAGACACGAUAUACAGUACAUUCCCGCCUGUGCAAGGGCGAAGCCAGCUAGCGAAACUGAGCGUGAAGAUGUCC
rnacentral:lncRNA from 1 species